rnacentral:rRNA from 1 species
AUCGCGGCCCACCUUCCCACCCUUGUCUCUCUAUACCUGUUGCUUUGGCGGGCCCACCGUGGCUAGGUCGCCGGGGGACGAACGUCUCCGAGGCCCGCGCCCGCCGAAGCGCUCUGUGAACCCUGAUGAAGAUGGAGCUAGUCUGAGUAGUAUAGAAAAUUGUCAAAACUUUCAACAAUGGAUCUCUUGGUUCCGGCAUCGAUGAAGAACGCAGCGAAAUGCGAUAAGUAAUGUGAAUUGCAGAAUUCCGUGAAUCAUCGAAUCUUUGAACGCACAUUGCGCCCCCUGGCAUUCCGGGGGGCAUGCCUGUCCGAGCGUCAUUUCUGCCCUCAAGCACGGCUUGUGUGUUGGGUGUGGUCCCCCCGGGGACCUGCCCGAAAGGCAGCGGCGACGUCCGUCUGGUCCUCGAGCGUAUGGGGCUCUGUCACUCGCUCGGGAAGGACCUGCCGGGGUUGGUCACCACCACAUUUUACACGGUUGACCUCGGAUCAGGUAGAGUUACCCGCUGAAAUUAAGCUAUCAU